rnacentral:rRNA from 1 species
AUUGAACGCUGGCGGCAGGCCUAACACAUGCAAGUAGAGCGGAGCGGCGGACGGGUGAGCAAUGCCUAGGAAUCUGCGUGGUAGAGGGGGAUAACGUCGGGAAACGGGCGCUAAUACCGCAUACUAUCAGAUGAGCCUAGGUUGGAUUAGCUAGUUGGUGGGGUAAAGGCCUACCAAGGCGACGAUCCGUAACUGGUCUGAGAGGAUGAUCAGUCACACUGGAACUGAGACACGGUCCAGACUCCUACGGGAGGCAGCAGUGGGGAAUAUUGGACAAUGGGCGAAAGCCUGAUCCAGCCAUGCCGCGUGAGUGAAGAAGGUCUUCGGAUCGUAAAGCACUUUAAGUUGGGAAGCGUUUCCAUAAGAAUAAGCACCGGCUAACUUCCGGCCAGCCGCCGCGGUAAUUC